AAAUAUCUUUGAUUAAAAGAAAAAUUGUAUCCAAUUAAUUUCCAGACUAUCUAACAUUUCUACAAAUAAAAAUAAUAAGUAAGUAUUAAAAAUAUUAACUUGUUCCCAGAAAUAAUCGUGAAAAUUUUUUUUCUCUUUGAAUCAUUAUUAAUGAACACAUAAUUGGAAAUUAAAUAGAUAAUAUGAUCAGAAACGUAGAACUGGAACUCAAUUAACUGUCAUAGACGCCUGUCCAACUAUCUAAGACGAGGAAGAUGAACAAAGAAAAACAGAUGAAGAGUAAAAAGCAAAUCGAAGAGCAAGGAAAUUUUAGCGCAGGGAAGCCAGUGAGUGUUGGUCGGUCGGUCAGCCCAAGCAGGUAUAAAAGCGUUGCAUCGCCUUAGCCAUGGUAUAUUUCUGCAUUAUAUAAGCAAUAUAGUCCUUAGUUUAUGCCUGGGACGCCGCAGUUAAACGUUGCGAGGACUUUUAUAGGCCUAUACGCGAAUUCUCCCAUACUUAUGCCGGUUACGACGCGUGUUUCCACUCGAGCAGAGAUACAGGCAUUUACACAUGCGCGCCCUCUAGCGUCGUGGUUCCUUGUCAAGACCGAUGGGAAACACGUUUGAAGAAGAUGGAUGAUUGUUCCAUGUCGCAUAACGAAGUGUUAACCUUUAACCGAAUUUAUGAUUAUCUUCUCUGAUAUUCGCUUCCAAAGAGCUGUUAAAAGUGGAAUACCUACAAAAUGCACCAGAGACGAAUAUCGCUAAUUCUCCGAUAUUAUUAUAUUAAAAUAAUUUCAAUGUAUAUUUUAUUUAUAAUAUAUGCAGGUGUGAAUGGUUCUUAAUUGAGCCCGAAGGCGAUCAAGAUUCAGGCUACUUGACUCGGCUUAGCACUCUAUCGAUGAAAUUUUUCGAGAGAUGGCGCCCUUUCCGCUUCGAUGAAGGGUAAAUGUGAGAAUAUUACUUCAGCUCCACGAAGCAACUUAACAUGCAUUUUCGAUAUGAAGAAGCGCUUACAUAUAUUAUACAUUAUAGUAUAUGAUCUACAAUACACUAUAUGAUCUGGGACUAAUAUUACACAAAAUCACUGGAUUUAAACAAUAUAUAGAAUGUUUCUCGAUUAAUUCGUGACUUGUUAAAUGAAAUCCUCAAUUUUGAAUAAAAAAUAACGCCUAUUUAACAAAAAUAACUAUUAUAAGAUUAAUUUAAAUAUUUCGCAUCUUGAUAUCCUUGAAAAAUCUCAGAAGCGUUGUGACAUACAUGUUUUAAUAUUCAGAAAUACCUGGAAUAUAUUCAAAACAGGUUAAAUGUAAAUUCAAAAUUUUU